AUACCGCGGCUUGAAACAGAAGUCUGAUGAGGGCUUGUGACUUUAAUGUGUAGCUUCUGGCAUUUCAAACACACAAUUUAGUCAGAAUUAAAUCAGAACUGAGUGGGUGAAGGAAAACGUAUGUGUGUACAUUUUAAAGAGAUACUUCAAACAUGAGCUUGUUACUUACCCCCAGGACUGACUGAGACGUGCCCUGGAGCUUCUUCAGAUGCUGGGACACAGAGCAGCACGCAGGGCUGUAACAAAGGCCUUUGAGGAUUUGGCAUAUUGGAGGUAAAACACUUUGGGGGUCCGAGGUCAAAGUGAGCACAGUGACCCCUUCAGCCUUGGUCAUGGUCACAGACAUCCUGCCAGCUCCGACAGA